GACGAACGCUGGCGGCGUGCUUAACACAUGCAAGUCGAACGGUGAAGCAGAGCUUGCUCUGUGGAUCAGUGGCGAACGGGUGAGUAACACGUGAGCAACCUGCCCCGGACUCUGGGAUAAGCGCUGGAAACGGCGUCUAAUACCGGAUACGAGCUGCGAAGGCAUCUUCAGCAGCUGGAAAGAACUUCGGUCUGGGAUGGGCUCGCGGCCUAUCAGCUUGUUGGUGAGGUAACGGCUCACCAAGGCGUCGACGGGUAGCCGGCCUGAGAGGGUGACCGGCCACACUGGGACUGAGACACGGCCCAGACUCCUACGGGAGGCAGCAGUGGGGAAUAUUGCACAAUGGGCGAAAGCCUGAUGCAGCAACGCCGCGUGAGGGACGACGGCCUUCGGGUUGUAAACCUCUUUUAGCAGGAAAGAAGCGAAAGUGACGGUACCUGCAGAAAAAGCGCCGGCUAACUACGUGCCAGCAGCCGCGGUAAUACGUAGGGCGCAAGCGUUAUCCGGAAUUAUUGGGCGUAAAGAGCUCGUAGGCGGUCUGUCGCGUCUGCUGUGAAAACCCGAGGCUCAACCUCGGGCCUGCAGUGGGUACGGGCAGACUAGAGUGCGGUAGGGGAGAUUGGAAUUCCUGGUGUAGCGGUGGAAUGCGCAGAUAUCAGGAGGAACACCGAUGGCGAAGGCAGAUCUCUGGGCCGUAACUGACGCUGAGGAGCGAAAGGGUGGGGAGCAAACAGGCUUAGAUACCCUGGUAGUCCACCCCGUAAACGUUGGGAACUAGUUGUGGGGUCCAUUCCACGGAUUCCGUGACGCANNUAACGCAUUAAGUUCCCCGCCUGGGGAGUACGGGCCGCAAGGCUAAAACUCAAAGGAAUUGACGGGGACCCGCACAAGCGGCGGAGCAUGCGGAUUAAUUCGAUGCAACGCGAAGAACCUUUCCAAGGCUUGACAUAUACGAGAACGCUGCAGAAAUGUAGAACUCUUUGGACACUCGUAAACAGGUGGUGCAUGGUUGUCGUCAGCUCGUGUCGUGAGAUGUUGGGUUAAGUCCCGCAACGAGCGCAACCCUCGUUCUAUGUUGCCANCACGUAAUGGUGGGAACUCAUGGGAUACUGCCGGGGUCAACUCGGAGGAAGGUGGGGAUGACGUCAAAUCAUCAUGCCCCUUAUGUCUUGGGCUUCACGCAUGCUACAAUGGCCGGUACAAAGGGCUGCAAUACCGUAAGGUGGAGCGAAUCCCAAAAAGCCGGUCCCAGUUCGGAUUGAGGUCUGCAACUCGACCUCAUGAAGUCGGAGUCGCUAGUAAUCGCAGAUCAGCAACGCUGCGGUGAAUACGUUCCCGGGUCUUGUACACACCGCCCGUCAAGUCAUGAAAGUCGGUAACACCUGAAGCCGGUGGCCCAACCCUUGUGGAGGGAGCCGUCGAAGGUGGGAUCGGUAAUUAGGACU
rnacentral:rRNA from 1 species